CUCCCAUCUGCUCUGCCAGAAACCAUGAUGAAAGAACAAGGUUCACAAAGUAGGAAUCUGCAGCUAUUUGUGAGCAUGUGGAUAGAGGUCCAGAUUAGAAGACUGUGCUUAUACAUGUGCAGCAAAAUGGCCCCAGGAAUCGUUCCCACAAUAGCUUUCGGGCAAACCAGUCAACUGAGUAAUGAAAAACCGACCAAUUGGUCUCGAGACUGUGAUGAACAGAGCUUCAAGUUAGCCUCUACCUUCCUGUGUGCGUCCUCAUCGGAGAUCAGUUGGCUUCCAGCCCCUGGCGAGCACCAGCCCGCUCCUCCCUGCCCUCCUUGCAAGAUGCUCAGAACCCUCUGCUAGCAGGUGAAGUUAAAGGAGCUCUGAAAACUCCCAAAGAGCACCUGUGCACACAAUUAAGAAAGUGUAUUUUUAGUGCAUGUUUAUUUUCUCAUUGUUAUUACUUCAUUAUGUGACUUCUUAGUGACCCUGAUGACUCAUUUGCAUCCAGAUCAUUAAAACCCUUUCAUUUGUCCAUUUAAACUGACUUGGGGUUUUAGCUAAUUAUCACUUCCUGGCAGCCUGAAGGUCAGACUAUUUCCUUUUGUUUCGCUCGGCAGUUAAUCCCCUCAUUAAAGGCGCUGGGAAAUGAAUAAUUAAACAUGUGCCAUUUUCAUAUUUCAGGUAAUGAGAGGCCCUCAGAUCCCGGAGGAUGCCUAAGAGGAAAAGCCAGGGGAGUGGUGAAGACGCUCUCUCCCGCACACAUGCCAUGGACUGUACAGAGGAAGGGUGGCCCCCUCCAAACCGCAGAGUGCAGGGAAAGUUGAACAGAGGAAGGAAGUCUCCCCCGAGGUUGGAAAGAUGACUAAAAUUUGGUUGGCCGAGAGAAGGGAAAAGAUGAUUCAAGUAAGUGAGGAAUGUGAGCACCGUGGGAAGGGUCUGGGCUGCACUCACAGCAGGACGUUGUCUGUGAGUCUACGACAGGCAGCACAGGGAAGGGACGCUGACCAGCGGGGGACAGUCCGAGGGUGGAGUGGAGGGCUGGCACUGUCUCCUGCCAUCAGUACAGAUGGCAGAGAAGGAACGAACAGGGCGAACCAGGAAAGAGCCCAUCCAGAGCUGCCCAGCAGACGUGCGGCGGACACGUUACCAAAAGCUCCACGGAGUGAGGAGUAUGUCUCUGCGGUGAGGGGCCAGCUCUGCCCUGGCUCGCUGGAUCGGCCUGGCGCCCCUCUCCCUUGCUCCUUCAGACCGGCCCAUGGCCGCGUGAGAGCCAGGGUCUCCUGCUCACCGGGCGCAGCGCACAGGGCUGCGGCCGCCCGGAUGCCUCUGUACCUGUCCCAGCCCCAGCUCCUGCUCCUACUCAGUUCCGUGAUGAUGCUGCUCUCCUGCAGAAGCCUUCCUCACCCCUUCCACCUCUGGGUGAGCUCACACAUAACUAGACGCCCCGGUAACACUUGAUUUACUCUUUCUGAGGCUUGCCGCCUGGACUGCCUUUGUCUAAGGCCGUCUUGGUGUAGGACAUCUGGAUUUGCCUGGCUGUGAAGCUCUGCUUCAUUUCUUAAAAGCUUGCAUCCUACACGAGUCAGUUGACUUUUCUAAAUUAGGCUUCUCCCUGUGUAAAAGGAAAAUAAGAACGAGAAGCACUUCGCGGAAUGACUGUGGGGAUCCAGGGAAACUACCUAAGAUGCCUACAUCAGCGAGUGCUCAGUAAGCAUUACGCAAAGCCUGUCUCCUGUACUUUCCAAGCUCCCUGACACAAGGACCGUGACUUUCAUCUUUGAAUAUUUAGGAACAAAGAAAUCUCCGGCACACAGAGGGCAUUCCCGAAUUCUCUAGCACGUGUUCCCUAAUAAGUGAGUUCUCCACAUGUGUAAGGCUUAUCCCUUAACGAAAAUGCAUUUGGAAAAUGCUUGUUUCUCAUAAAACGAAUUCGUAUCCGUUGAUGAAAAUUUGAAAAACACAGAUUACAGAGAUCAAAAUAAAGGUCGUGUGAUCAUAUCAUCUAUCCCUAAAUGCUAGUAUACAUCCC
ensembl:lincRNA